rnacentral:rRNA from 1 species
UCGCUCGAAGGGGGGGUCGCGGCGUAUCAGCUUGUUGGUGGGGUAAUGGGCUACCAAGUCGACGACGCGUAGCGGGUGUGAGAGGACGACCCGUCACAUUGGGACUGAGAUACGGCCCAGACUCCUACGGGAGGCAGCAGUGGGGAAUAUUGCGCAAUGGUCGAAAGACUGACGCAGCGACGCCGCCUGUGGGAGGAAGCCCCUAGGGGUGUAAACCACUGUCUGAAGAGAAGAACAGCGUGGAUUCGAUCAGGAUUCAUGUUUGACGGUACCUUCAGAGGAAGCGCCGGCUAACUCCGUGCCAGCAGCCGCGGUAAGACGGAGGGCGCGAGCGUAGUUCGGAAUUACUGGGCGUAAAGCGCGUGCAGGCGGCCCUUUAAGUCUUUUGUGAAACUCCGGGGCUCAACUCAGGAACGGCAAAGGAUACUGGGGGGCUAGAGACCGGUAGAGGCUAGUGGAAUUCCUGGUGUAGCGGUGGAAUGCGUAGAUAUCAGGAGGAACACCGGCGGCGAAGGCGA